rnacentral:rRNA from 1 species
UUUAUGGAGAGUUUGAUCCUGGCUCAGGAUAAACGCUGGCGGCGUGCCUAAUACAUGCAAGUCGAGCGAACGGACGAGAAGCUUGCUUCUCUGAUGUUAGCGGCGGACGGGUGAGUAACACGUGGAUAACCUACCUAUAAGACUGGGAUAACUUCGGGAAACCGGAGCUAAUACCGGAUAAUAUUUUGAACCGCAUGGUUCAAAAGUGAAAGACGGUCUUGCUGUCACUUAUAGAUGGAUCCGCGCUGCAUUAGCUAGU